AGUUUGAGGCCGGCCGCUUGGUGGCGCCUGUGGCCGCAGGGAUUUGACUGGGCCUUCUCUAGCUUUCCCCGGUUUGCUGCACUUGACGCUGCAGGGCGGGCGGGGUAAAGAAGGGAGCGAGCCCUUCUCAAGCUUGGAAAGUUUCCAGACUGCUGGGCCAGCCUCCUCCCCAGAGGGAAACUGAGGUCCGAUUGAGGUUUCUCCAAGACCGCCCACUCCUGCUCCUGUCCCCAAACCCCUUUCUGCCUAGGGUUCCUGGAAGCCAAGGAAACAGAACGAACUGUUCCCUGGGUGGGCGAGCCACUGCAGAGUACAAAGCUUUCAGGCCGCCUGCCUCAUUAGCACUAAUGGCUGCUCCCUUCCGCCCUGUGUCGUCAGGACUGUCUAUGCCUGGUCUCAUCAGCACAAGGCUGGGCUGAAGAAGUCCCAGGAGUCCUCCCAUGUCCUCUCAGCAACCCAGGCUGGAGCCUACUCCUUGGUGUUGGCAAAGGAAACCGUCUUUGAAGCCAGAGGGAGCCCUGAAUUCAUGCAGAGGAGUUUUUCUACCUUCCAUCUGCUUCUGCAUAUCAUCUUGUCUACUUAAUGCCCCUCCUUCCGGAUUUAUAGAACAGUAUGCAUAAUAUGACCCCAACUGCAUUCCAAAAAAUAGAUGUAGAUGUAAGCUUAGAGAUGCAAAGAAACUUUUUGAGAGAAUUCACUAUGCUUCUCGCGGGUGGUGACACAGUUCAAGGAGGUUCCAUGGGGUGUAAUGUUUAUCUUUCUCUUUUGUCCUUCUGAUCAUUGAAAUGAUGCUUUGUGUGUGUGAACAUGUAUUACUUUUAUAAUUAAAAUAGAAAAAUUAAUUUGAAUGGGACAAAUGCUCGAAGUCAAAGUCACCUGUUAUAACUGCUGUCACUAACAGGGCAACUGUUUGAAAAUGCUGCAGAAACAUGAGAAAUGUUCAUGAAGUGACCCUGUGGAGGCUUCCGGUCACAGGAUCAUGUGAGCGCCACGAUCACCCCAGGGGUGGAGCAGAUGCUAAGUGUUCACCACACCCAAUUCUCUUCCUGGACACACAGGAAGAUGACAUUUCCAGUGACAUGCCCCACCUCUAGGCCCUAGUCUUUUUUUUAUUUAAAGGUCUGAGUCUUGUUCUGUCACCCAGGCUGGAGUGCAGUGCUGUGAUCAUGACUCACUGCAGCCUCAACCUCCUGUGCUCAAACAAUCCUCCCACCUCAGCCUCCCUAAUAGCUGAUGUCAUAUAGGCAUGAGCCAGUGUGCCUGGCUCAGGCCCUACCCUUAAAAGCAUCCCACCUGAUUCACCAGCCCCCUUCUCUCUCUCAGUAAACUUGGAAACCACGCAUUCCAGAUGGUAUAAUUUACAGCAUGAUGGAAAAAGCCAGCUCUCCAUGGGAAGCUGGCCAGUCUUCAUUGGAGUACAUUUUUAUUGCAUGAAGCCAAUGAGACUUGAUAUUGUUUAACUCUGUGGUUUCCAAAGUGCGGUCCUUUUGAAGUAUCCAUAAAGUCUACACUAGGUUCACGGUAAUAUUAAGAUGUUAUUUGUCAGCUGGGCACGGUGGCUCACGCCUAUAAUCUCAGCACUUUGGGAGGCCAAGGCAAAUGGAUAAUGAGGUCAGG
rnacentral:lncRNA from 1 species